rnacentral:rRNA from 1 species
GACAGAGGGUGCAAACGUUGCUCGGAAUUAGCUAGGGCGUAAAGCGCGUGUAGGGUGGAUUGGUGUGUCAGAUGUGAAAAGCCCCUGGGCUCAACCCAGGAACUGCACCUGAAACUACCAGUCUUGAGUGGUGGAGAGGGAAGUGGAAUUCCUGGUGUAGAGGUGAAAUUCGUAGAUAUCAGGAGGAACACCAGUGGCGAAGGCGGCUCACUGGACCGGAACUGACGCUGAGGCGCGAAAGCGUGGGGAGCAAACAGG